CGAAGGGGGCGUAGCGUUGCUCGGAUUGACUGGGCGUAAAGGGCGCGUAGGCGGUUUGUACAGUCAGGCGUGAAAUUCCUGGGCUCAACCUGGGGGCGUGCGUUUGAUACGUGCAGACUUGAGUUCGGAAGAGGGUCGUGGAAUUCCCAGUGUAGAGGUGAAAUUCGUAGAUAUUGGGAAGAACACCGGUGGCGAAGGCGGCGACCUGGUCCGAUACUGACGCUGAGGCGCGAAAGCGUGGGGAGCAAACAGGAUUAGAUACCCUGGUAGUCCACGCCGUAAACGAUGUGCGCUGGAUGUUGGGUGACAUAGUCAUUCAGUGUCGUAGCUAACGCGAUAAGCGCACCGCCUGGGGAGUACGGCCGCAAGGUUG
rnacentral:rRNA from 1 species